rnacentral:rRNA from 1 species
CCUACGGGCGGCUGCAGUGGGGAAUAUUGCACAAUGGGGGAAACCCUGAUGCAGCGACGCCGCGUGAGUGAAGAAGUAUUUCGGUAUGUAAAGCUCUAUCAGCAGGGGAGAAAAUCACGGUACCUGAUUAAGAAGCCCCGGAUAACGACGUGCCAGCAGCCGCUGGCAUACGUGGGGGGCACGCGUUAUUCGGAUGUACUGGUUGUAAAGGGAGCGUAGACGGGAGCACAAGUUUGGAGGUAAAUGCCGGGUGUUAAACCCGGAAAUGCUUUGGAAACCGUGCAGCUAGAGUGCAGGAGAGGUAAGUGGAAUGCGUGGUGUAGCGGUGAAAUGCGUAGAUAUUACGAGGAACACCAGUGGCGAAGGCAGCUUACUGGACUGUAACUGACGUUGAGGCUCGAAAGCGUGGGGAGCGAACAGGAUUAGAUACCCGAGUAGUC